rnacentral:rRNA from 1 species
AGCACGUUAUGGUGGGCACUCUAAGGAGACUGCCGGUGACAAACCGGAGGAAGGUGGGAUGACGUCAAGUCAUCAUGGCCCUUACGGCCUGGGCUACACACGUGCUACAAUGGUCGGUACAAAGGGUUGCCAAGCCGCGAGGUGGAGCUAAUCCCAUAAAACCGAUCGUAGUCCGGAUCGCAGUCUGCAACUCGACUGCGUGAAGUCGGAAUCGCUAGUAAUCGUGAAUCAGAAUGUCACGGUGAAUACGUUCCCGGGCCUU